rnacentral:misc_RNA from 1 species
UCUCCGUUGGUGAACCAGCGGAGGGAUCAUUACCGAGUGCAAACCCAUAACCCUUUGUGAACCUAUAUCUGUUGCUUCGGCGGCUCGCUCUCGGGCGAGCACGCCGGUAAUAUCAGUAUCUCUGUUUGAACCCGACGAUACUUCUGAGUGUUCUUAGCGAACAGUUAAAACUUUUAACAACGGAUCUCUUGGCUCUA